CCUACGGGAGGCAGCAGUGGGGAAUAUUGGGCAAUGGAGGAAACUCUGACCCAGCGACGCCGCGUGAGGGAUGAAGGCCUUCGGGUUGUAAACCUCUUUCAGUAGGGAAGAAGCGAAAGUGACGGUACCUACAGAAGAAGCACCGGCUAACUAUGUG
rnacentral:rRNA from 1 species